AUGACAUGCGUGUCGUUUCACACACCUCCGCUUCUACGGCGAUAUUCUUCAAUUCUUCAAAAUCUUUUUUUCUUCUUCCUAUUGCAUAUUCCAAUCAGUUCGACAGUAAAACAACUUACUGUACCCGGACAAAUAGUUCUAGGAGGAUUAUUUCCAAUUCAUGAAGCCGGAAGAAAUGCAUCACAUCAAUGUGGAAAGAUUAAAGCAGAUCAAGGAGUUCAGAGAAUGGUGGCAAUGUUAUUUGCAUUGGAAAAGGUUAAUCGAGAUAGACAACUACUUCCACAAGCAAGUUUAGGAGCACAGAUUUUGGAUACAUGCUCAGUUGACAGUUAUGCAUUGGAACAAACUCUUGAAUUCAUAAAAUCAGUCAUGUCAAAUGGAGAUGGAGUAACAUGUGCAGAUGGUUCAACUGGUUCAUAUACUAGACAGCCAGUUGUUGCAGUUGUUGGAGCUGCUGGAAGUCAAGUCAGUGUUAUGGUUGCUUCGAUGUUACAAUUGUUCAAGAUUCCUCAAGUCAGCUACAGUUCAACAGGAGCCGAAUUAAGUGAGAAGCCCCGAUUCGCUUUUUUCUCAAGAGUUGUUCCACCAGACAACCUGCAAGCUCAAGUCAUGGCUAGAGUUAUUGGAGCACUGGAAUGGACAUAUGUACAUGCAAUUGCUGAUACGGGAUCCUAUGGUGAAAGAGGAAUGGAUUCAUUUCGAGCAGCUGCAGCUGAAAAUGGAAUUUGUAUUGAUGGAGAUGUACAGAAGAUUUCGAGAAGAUGGACUGAGAAAAAUUUCAGAGAUCUCCUAAUCCGAAUGCAUCGAACACGGAAGGCUCGUGGAGUGGUGAUGUUUGUCGAUGAAGAUAAUUUAAAACGACUUCUCAAGACGUUGGAUCUUCUUGUAGCUGAAGGACAUACCGAAUUGGAUAGACAUUUUUGGUUUGUUGCAUCCGACUCAUGGGGUAUCAAACAAUCAGUUGUCCGUGGAUUGGAGCAUCGAACAUACGGAGCAAUCACAAUUGCUCCAAUGGUACGAGAAGAAACUGGAUAUUUGGAAUAUUUUCGAUCACUUUCCCCAAAAGGAUUUGUUUUCUUGGAAGAGUUUUUCGAGUAUCUCGGAUGUUCGGCCACUGUAGAUGUCAAGACUUUUGGAGAUUGUUUUGAUAUGGUUAAUAUUACUUUGAAACAGGAAUCCUAUGUUCCAUUUGUGGUUGACACUGUAAAAAUAAUUGCAAAAGCAAUUUCAAUGUACAUUGAAGAUGAUUGUGGGAAGAUUCCAUUUCAUAAGUGUACAUUGGCUCAAUCAGGGUUCAGAGGAGAACGUCUUCAAAGAUAUUAUAGGAAUAUGUCUCUCAUCAAAAACGAGCCAGCCUUAAUCGAUGCGAAUGGUGACGGAAUCGGACGAUAUGAUGUCUUCCAAUUGGAUAUAAAUGGAGUAUAUCAAAAAGUUGGAAAAUGGAGAUCUACAGAUGAUUUCUUGUCUGUUGAAGUCGAGAAAAUCCGUCACGCAUUCAAAACAGCUCACGGAGAACGGCCGAUGAGCGUGUGCUCCACGGAUUGUCCACGUGGACAUUACAGAGCAUAUCAGGAUCAGACGUGUUGUUGGGCAUGUAUUCCAUGUGAUACUUCUACAAGUAUUCAUAAUGAAACAAGCUGUGAAGAGUGUGCUGUUGGAAUGGUUCCAGAUCGAACUCUUCAUUUUUGCGUGCCAAUUCCUCCGGUUUCAAUGCAAUGGGACACAACAUGGUCUCUAAUCCCAGCUGCAUUCUCAACACUUGGAAUCGCAUCGACCAUAUUUGUUGUCUCGGUUUUCUUAAAAUUUUCCAAUACUCCUGUGAUAAUGGCAUCUGGAAGAGAGCUAUGUUAUUGUAUGAUGUCUGGAAUUGGAAUGUGCUACACUUUGACAUUUUUCUUGGUUUCUCAGCCGACUGUUAUCACAUGCUCAAUGACUCGGAUUCUAAUGGGUCUAUCAAUGUCAGCCAUUUAUGCAGCAAUCAUCACAAAAACUAAUCGACUUGCACGAGUAUUCAAACCAGAUUCUGCACAAAGACCGAGGUUUAUCACUCCAAAAGCUCAGGUUGGAAUUUGCAUGGGAAUAGUAUCUGUUCAACUGAUCGGAACAUUUGUCUGGAUACUAUUCGAUCCACCUGGCACAAUGAUUGUAUUUCCAACAAGAACUGAAGCAGUAUUAACUUGUAAAGCAACAACUUCUCAUCUCCUUAUAUCUCUGCUCUACAACAUUUUGCUAAUUGUCGCCUGCACUGUGUAUGCCUUCAAAACACGGAAAAUACCGGAAAAUUUCAAUGAAACACGACAUAUUGGAUUUACAAUGUAUUCCACGUGUAUUCUUUGGCUUGCAUUCGGUCCGAUUUAUUUUGCGACACAGAGUGAUUUCAGGAUUCAAAUAACAUCAUUGUGCAUGUGCAUAUCACUUUCUGGAACAGUUGCACUUAUUUGCUUUUUUGCUCCAAAGGUCUACAUAGUUCUCUUCCAACCAUACAAAAAUGUGAGGACCCGUCAAUCAGCUGUUGGACGACUCGUAAAUCAACAAAUGAGCAGAGGAGAGUUCUCACACGAGCAACGCUCAGGUACAACAGCCAACUCGAGCGAUCCCUCCGCAUGUAAUUGAACAAUUGGCAGCGAGUCUACCGAUUAGUGAUAAAAAUGAUUUGGUGAAAAAGUUGUCACUCCAAGACAAAUUCUUCAACAAUAACAAUAAUAACGAGAACAGUGAAGAGAUUCGUCGUCGUCGUCCGAGCAGUGUUCAUACAGUCGGAGCAGUUACAAAUGGCUCAUCAGUUGCUCAUAUUCCACCAAGAAGCUACACAGAUGAACCAAAAUCAUCAAUGAUUCGGCAGGACACUGCAAAGAGUAGAACAAGUCUUGCAGAAUCUCAUCAAGUUGACCUUAUUCUGGAAGAAAUUGCAGCCGACACUAAUUCCACUUUUCUUUGA
rnacentral:misc_RNA from 1 species